rnacentral:other from 1 species
CGCCCUCUGAGAUGUUCGACAGUGCGUCCGUCAAAUACCUUGUCCCUAUUGCACGACCCCGGGAUGAUGAACUGCCGUGCAUGAGCAGGUCCGCUUCGCAGCGGAACGCCUUUAGCGGCUCAACAGUCGUCCCACCUGAUCCCUGGGAUCAAGGUCGUCAGACGUACAUCGGCAUCGUCGGAGGGCCC